rfam:Gossypium hirsutum cultivar TM-1 chromosome 24, whole genome shotgun sequence
AAACCGUGGUGUAGGCAUUUUUGAAUUAGCAUUUUAAAAUGCUCACAUGCAUCACAAAAACUUUCCCCCUCUAACUGUUUUAACAUCAAAAUUUCCCUUCUUAGUUG